rnacentral:rRNA from 1 species
CCCUUCGGGGGAGUGGCAAACGGGCGAGUAACGCGUACUUAACCUACCCAGAAGUUGGGAACAACUACGGAGACGUAGCUAAUUCCCAAUGUUCCCUGCACUAUGAAAAAAUGCAGGGCAAAGAUUUAUCGCUUUUGGAGGGGGGUGCGUCCUAUCAGGUAGUUGGUGUGGUAAUAGCUCGCCAAGCCUAUGACGGGUAGCCGGUCUGAGAGGAUGUCCGGCCGCAAUGGAACUGAGACACGGUCCAUACUCCUACGGGAGGCAGCAGUGGGGAAUCUUGCGCAAUGGGCGAAAGCCUGACGCAGCAAUCCCGCGUGAAGGAUGAAGCAUUAUGGUGUGUAAACUUCUUUUCUGGUGGAAGACGAAUGACGGUACACCAGGAAUAAGGGACGGCUAACUACGUGCCAGCAGCCGCGGUAAUACGUAGGUCCCAAGUGUUAUCCGGAAUUACUGGGCGUAAAGAGUCUGUAGCCGGGUUUGUAAGUCUGUUUUCAAAUCCUAUGGCUUAACCAUAGAGAGGGAAUGGAUACUGCAAACCUUGAGAUUAUUGGGGGUUGAUGGAAUUUCCGGUGGAGCGGUGAAAUGCGUUGAUAUCGGAAGGAACGCCAAAAGUGAAAGCAGUCAACUACAAUAAAUCUGACGGUCAGAGACGAAAGCUUGGGGAGCAAACGGGAUUAGAUACCCCGGUAGUCCAAGCCGUAAAUUAUGCAUGCUAGGUGU